rnacentral:rRNA from 1 species
AACGCGAAGAACCUUACCAGCCCUUGACAUGCCUGUUAUGGAUUUCAGAGAUGAUUUCCUUCGGUUCGGCCGGGCAGUGCACAGUUGCUGCAUGGCUGUCGUCAGCUCGUGUCGUGAGAUGUUGGGUUAAGUCCCGCAACGAGCGCAACCCUCUUCCUUAGUUGCUACCAUUUAGUUGGGCACUCUAGGGAUACUGCCGGUGAUAAGCCGGAGGAAGGCGAGGAUGACGUCAAGUCCUCAUGGCACUUACGGGCUGGGCUACACACGUGCUACAAUGGUGGUGACAAUGGGACGCGAACCCGCGAGGGGGAGCAAAUCUCCAAAAGCCAUCUCAGUUCAGAUUGCAGGCUGCAACUCGCCUGCAUGAAGUUGGAAUCGCUAGUAAUCGUGGAUCAGCAUGCCACGGUGAAUACGUUCCCGGGCCUUGUACACACCGAGACGUA